CGCAUAUCGCGACACGCGAUUGUUUGAACCGCUCUGCGCAGCACAUGUACGCGAUCAGGCCUGUGCACGUUACCACAUUUCCGGCAGCGAGCACGAGCAAUUGUUUCAAGAAGUACUGUUGCUGUGUGAUUGUAAUACUGAUAUUCUUUCGCGCCUAAAGUUUUGUGAGCUGGUGUAUCUUUUUGAAGAGAUAUCUCCUCUGAAGAGCUGAGAGAAAAGCUGAUAUCUCCUCUGAGCUGACUUCUCCAUAUUGCAUAAUUGUGUGCAUAGUUUUUUCAAGUAUUAGACGAAACUUUUUUAAAGUCAUACAGGCCAUUUUUCAUGCACAAAAUGUGAAGAAGAGGGUGAAAUGUUUAAUCAUGUAUUACGGAGACAGAACGUUUUUGCAAAAGAACUGAUCAUACAUUUAGAACUACUGCUCAACCGGAACAUCAUAUUGGCAAAACGCUUUUCCUUUUGAAAAUUAUAUGCAACAAUUAAAGAAGAAAGUUCGUAAAUCAGCUCAGCCUUUACAGCAAGUUAUAUGUACAUCGCGUGCUUGAGGAAAGUAAUAUUGCUCAACAUAACUUUAAUAAUAUCUAAUAUAAUAUAAGUGUUCGAUAUACGACCUAUAUGAUUCACGCCGGACACCGAUCGCGGUGAUAUCACUGUUUUCGUUCUCGUAUCAUCUCGGUGAAAUUCGGCGUAUUCCGAAAACACGGACGAGUGGGGAAAUGAGCCUCGACGGUUUCCAUCGAUGUGUCCGUGAUAUACUUCUGUUACAACAGUCGCGCGAAUAACAAGUAAGACCUUCACAACAACCGGCGAGCGAACGAACGAACAUUGUACAUCGAUCUACUCGGCACCGCAACAAUAAAUCUCGAUCUUGAGAAUUAAAUUUGAUUGCAUAUGUUACGUGGAUUUCCCCGUCACAUCACAGUUUGGCGAGACAAUACAAUUAAGAGAAUUACGGACAUCAAAAUACUCGCAUCACGCAUACGAGAUCACAUUUUCUCGUACAAUAAGCGAUUAAUAAUAUAAGCGAGUAGUUUGGGCACUUAUGACACUUAUAAAAAAACGCAUCAAAAGGCAAACAAAACCAAAAGUACAAACAUUCUUACUUCUAAUAAUGAAGAGUUGAAAGAGAAAAGAAAACGUAAUACAAAAACUAAAAAACGCAAUAACAAAUCUGAAAGUGAAUCGUCCUUCUCUGAAAUAGAUAGAUCAUCAUCAGAUGAUGAUGCACUAUAUCCUGACGUUCCAAAUUUUAACGAACAAAUUGACUCAAACAAUAGAAAGAAAAAUCAAAUAGAAAAUAACACUCAUAAGUUCAAAGUUACUGUUGAUACUAUUUCUAAUUCUGGUACUAGUACUUCUAUUUCUAAUAUUGUUGAGUCAUAUCAUAAAAACCCGGCUUUGGAAUUAAAUUCUGAAUUUGGAAAACGGAUUUGUAGAGAAUUACACAUUCUCAGUUUGAAAAUGGAUGAUAUUUUCGAAGGUAUUAAUGUUCUACUAAAAAUAAAGCAGAUCUAGUACAAAAUGUUGUAUGUAAUGAAAUUCCCGAAAUUAUGCAAUCAUUUCCUGUAAAUGAUAAUUCUUUGGCUGAAUUGGAGAACUGGUUAAUGACAUCUGAAAAUAAUAAAACAAUUUUGUCUCAAAAUUUAAGUCGCAUUGAAGGAUGUACCGUUAAAGAAAUCGUUCAAAGAAUUAUGUAUCGCAUUUUUACCUACGAAGUCGGUAUGUCUUACUCAUGGAAAGGGGCAAAGAAAAAGAAAGUUUUCAAAAAUUAGCUGUAACGUCUGUAAUUCUCUGGCAUAUUAUCAAGAUUCAACUAAUAUGCAUUCUUUAGAAAGGGAUUCGAUACAAAGGGAACGAGAUUCAAGUAACAUGCCUUUAGGGAAUACUAAAUAUUAUAAAGUGCGUAUUCUCUUGCAAAUUGCUUUCA